GCAAAUCAUUCAUAGGGCAUGUCUCUUUUGGCAGGUAAUGGUGAUUACUUUGGAUUAAUUUAGAGCUACCAAAAUAUGUCUUAUAUAGUAAUCAACUUGCCAAAGGAGAGCUGCCCUGUGAGUGUUUG
rnacentral:pre_miRNA from 1 species